rnacentral:rRNA from 11 species
GACUGCAACUAAACUCUCUAAAGUCACCACAUCCAGCCUGAUCUUGGAAGCAAAGCAAGGUUGGCCAUGGUUAAUACUUGGAUGACAGACUACCAACAAAUAUCAAGGGUUGUAGGCA